rnacentral:rRNA from 1 species
ACACGACUACAUUAGACUACCCCUGUAGUCCAGGGUGUAAACGCUGCGGGCUUGGUGUUGGGGGUCCUUCGAGGGCGCCCAGUGCCGGAGAGAAGUUGUUAAGCCUGCUGCUUGGGAGUACGUCCGCAAGGAUGAAGCUUAAAGGAAUUGGCGGGGAGCACCGCAACGGGAGGAGCGUGCGGUUCAAUUGGAUUCAACGCCGGACAACUCACCAGGAGCGACGGUUACAUGAAGGCCAGGCUGAUGACCUUGCCUGAUUUUCCG